rnacentral:lncRNA from 12 species
AUGGCUCCUUCUUUUUUUUUUUUUAAUUUUUAUUUAUUUAUGAUAGUCACAGAGAGAGAGAGAGAGAGAGAGGCAGAGGCACAGGCAGUGGGAGAAGCAGGCUCCAUGCACCGGGAGCCCGACGUGGGAUUCGAUCCUGAAUCUUCAGGAUCACGCCCUGGGCCAAAGGCAGGCGCCAAACCGCUGCGCCACCCAGGGAUCCCCAUCAUGGCUCCUUCUGAAGAACUCCUUAGGAGAAAUAAACUCUUGGAGAGCAAGGAUCACAGCCAUUUCGUCAACUUUGUGAGCUGUUUCGUGCAAGCUGCUGCUCAACAAAUAGUACUUAAGAACGAUGUGUUUGUUGACUUGGCUUUUCCCAAAAAUUUUCAGCUGGAUAUCAGAAAAUACGAUUCCAGUUUCCGAGCUCAAUAUUGGUAAUAAGUUCCCUCCACGAGGGCCCUCCUGGUCGGGGGGAGCUGUGGAAGGGGGUGGACUCGAAACAAAACCUCCUAUCACCUUUCUAGCAGUUUUGUAACAGAAAAUAUUCUCUGCUGGAAACCCCUGCAGAGGGCGAGUCUCAGCUAAGAACUCUCGGCGGCCGGAGCGCGUCCUCCCGGGAGCCUGGCUUGCAACCCCGGGGGAGGUGCCCACAUCCCGGGAGGACUGCGCGCUGCUCGGGGGCCGGGAGGGUCGGCGCAGCUGGAGCCAGGUCCUCCCGUCG